AUUUGUAGCAAGUCGGAUAGGC
rnacentral:miRNA from 1 species